AAUUUAAAACUCAAAGUUAAAGUUUUCUGAACGUCAUAGUUUAUAAGUUAAGUCACUAUUUUUUUUUCAGCUGUGUGAUGUGCGUGACAUUUUCGGGUAGAUGCACACAUUGCACUAUAUGUGCCAAUCAUAAUCACAAAUUAAGUUAUUCAAAGAGGCGUUAUCUUUCGAACAUAAAAUACAAACAAAACACUUCACCGUGUAAUAAUAAUAUGUAUUAUAGUAGGGAAACGUUACAGCUUAAGAUGAAAGAACUGAAGUAGUAUUGACGGAUAAAAUGUUGGGCGCUCGUCUCGCUUCGUUAGGCUCUCUCGCAUAGCUAUACAGAGUUACACAGUGAAGGCAAUUGUCCACUUUCUAUGUGUUUAUCGAACUUAAAAAAUCAUUUUAAAAACCUACCCGACUGUUAAUAUUCUGCUUCAAGCACUACUACGAAGGUAUUCAUUAUUCCGAUCACAUUGUGAGCAUCAGUGUUAUGUACCAGAAAAAAAGGGAUAAUACAUUUUCGUCCUAGACACAGGGUAAAUAAUUAAUAUAUUGCCCUAGGACAACACAAGAAUACGAUUACGUACACAUUUACGAGCGGCACAUCUGGAUUCUGGAUCUCGACGUGUUCCUGAAGAACACAAAUAAAGUUUUGUUUUUCAAACAUAAAUUUCAGGAUGAAAAAAAAAUAGUGGUCAAACCAUUAUUAUACUGCUGCAGAAGCUUUCAAAACUUUUCCGUGGGUACUUAUUGCCGUGUACGAUGAAAAAACAAUGCAACCCAUAUUAUAAAGGUUUGACAUUUUCAAAACCUAUAUAAGAACAACGAAAUUUCAGCCACUUCUUAAAAUUGGUAAUUUGUUAAUAUUUCAAGUAGCACGCAUAAAACCCACGCGCCGCGUCCGAUACGUCAAUAUUUAUUAGACAUUUUUCCACGGAAUAUCGCGGAACCUAAUAAAAAGUAAAAACUUAUUUCGUCCUGCACGACACCAGAACAGUGAAAAAUGUUCGAACUUUUAAUAAAAAUAUGUGUCCUAGGCGAUCGACGUCGUGAGCUUUGCGUGAGGUAUAUUUUACGCGUAGGUAUCGAAUAAUGUUAAUGUUAUAUUAAUAUAGCCCUUCAUAAUAACACCUACAGGGAGUUCAACGAAUCCACAGAGUAUUCGUCCAAAGUGCUUAGGUAGGUACAUAGUUUCUCCCGGAGUGAACAUGCAGGUAUCGUGCGGUAACGUUCACCAGGACAUAUUGUGUAUCGCGGUAAGUGGUAACCACGCUAACCCGCACCAACCAUUGCACGUACACCGAUAACCCGCAUGAUAUUAUUAUUAUUUUACUGAAGUUAUAUCGUACUAUUGUCAGUGGUUCCCAAAAUGCGAGUGACAAUGUACACGUCUUAUUUUCAGACAGCGGUUCGUGAUGCGUGAUGCAAUUUGAGUAUAUAAUUUUCAAACUUUAAUACGUGGAUAAGACACAACAUUCGAAUUCAAUAUAUUUUUUUAUCUACGAAAUACACUAAGAUAAUACUCUGUCUAUUAAAAAAAUAAAUAAACAUACGAAGUUAAGAGGAUUUCAGCUCGAUGUUUGUUUUCUCUCUCUGACCCACGUAAAUAAACAAAUUUAUAUUUAUUUACAUUUAUUUCAUAAAAAAAAUUCUUUCAUGCAAAGUCAUUAAUUUUUUAAAUGUUUAUGAGUAAUUUAUCAUAGAGUUGAAUCAAUAACCACAAAAAUUAUGUUAACAAUAUUUUUGAUGGUAUGAUAUAUUGAAUUGUCUUAAUAUUAUCUCUAAGCUAUUUAAUAGGUACCUGCUCAUUAACAAAAAAUUAUUUGAAGUCGGAUAUAAAAUCAAAUAAUAAAAAACUAAGAAACUGGCAUUAUGAAAAACCUUCAGAAAUAUUAUAAUCCAUUAUUUUUGUAAUCGGCGAUUUUACUCUAAAAUUACUGAACAAUCAUUAAAAAACGAUUUUACUUGAAUGUGUUUUAUAAUUUUAUCUAUAUGUAAAGCGUGGGUCCAAGAGAGAAAAAAAUUAUUGCAUUGGUCAUCUUAUUGAGUAUUUUUAGACACCUACCUACUAAUAUAGUUUUUUUUUAGAUCCUGUACAGAGUGAUCGCAAUGAUUAACUGUUUACGUAGUUCUAAUUUAACACAUCUAAUAUAGCGAAUCCAUAAUAAAAUAUAACAAUAAAAUGACCUGCUCAAUGGUGGUGUACACUAUACUAUAAUUGGUACAGCAAUGCGACUUUUUAUUUAAUUUAAUACCUUUCACGGGUGCCUAGGACAAAUUUCCUUUUUUUAUGGGAUGCGUGAACCAAACGUUUGGGAACCACUGUAUUUUAUAAUAUAAUAUGUAAGGCAGCUAUUGGGCGGCAUAAUACACACCCCAGUCCUGGCUACUAGUAUAUUAUUACCACACGCAUAAUGCAUAUGGCAUAUAAUAGUUUACCCAUGUAAAUGUCUCGAGACAGCUCGAAAUUAUAAUAUUAUUUAAAACAGUAGGGAAAUUUGCGUAUUCGAUCUUUAGGGUUUCGUGAAAAACAAAAAUAAAUUCCGUGUACAGAGUUACUGUGUUAUAUUAUACGUACGAUGUACAUGAAUAAUAUGAUAUUGGAAAUAAAUCAUAAAAUAUUUUAUUCGAAACUCUCGAAUGUUGGCUGUUUACAAAAAUACCGAGCUAAAUGAUUUAUCGAGUAUAGUCAAUGUACUCCAGACUAGGUAUUAAAAUACAGAAUUGUAAGUAGCUAAUAGUCAGUACAACGAUUUAUCACGGAAUUCAAAUUUAACACAUCCAUUAUAACAGUAACCUAUUCGAUGACGAGGUACACCAAAACUUACAAUAAAUACCACAGAUGAGCGAGUUCACUGUUGUUUACUUUAAACUCUUGCAGAACAUUAUUUUUAGAUCUUUGUGUGCUUCUAGGUUCUAUACGACUAAAUACUGACUUAUAGUUGACUUUAAACCACGGAUUCAUAAAAUAUAUCGUUGAAUUAAGUUCCUAGGACAAUGGAAGUAACUAAUAAGCCAUAAAUAUACUCCCACUAUUCACUAUUCAGUUGAGGUAAGGUUGGUUAGUUUUUAGUUAUACGAUAAGCGCCAUUUUCUUUUUGUACCAUAUAUAACCGGUCAUAAUAAUCAUUGAUAGAAAAAAAUAAAAUUACGAUCUAUGAUUUAAAUUAUGAUAAAUGUCAAGUGAUAUAGUCAAGUGAUACGAUAAUCUGUCAACACUGUGAAUGUAUAAAGGAUUAAUAACUUUUAUGUACUAACAUAUUGUAACAAUAUAUCUAGAUUUAAAAAUAAAUACAAUUUGGAACGAAUUCGAUUCGGUUAACGAUUCGGUUUACGAAAUUACCUACUGAAAUUGAUUAUUUGUUAAUUUUUCAGUGAUAAAAAUGAAAUCGUUGUACGCAAUUAGCAUUAUAUCUAUAACGUUAUUUUUAUCAAUUAUAAAAUAAUUUUUAAAUUAUUAUAUUAUAUUUCAUUGAUUUCUCUACAGACAACUAAGUCGAGUGACUAAGUUUUUAUUACAACUUACUCAUUUGUAAAGGCUUUUAUUAGAAUAAUGUGACUGCAAAAGGUUUGAUUUGUUUCAAAAAAAGUAUGUAAUAAAAAAUAUGCUUUAAAAAUUUGAAAUUUGCGCCCUUCUAUGAUUCUCGCUAAAGCCAUGAACCCCGAAUUUUCCUCCACCCCUUAGAUCUGGUACUACAGACGAGACUGCAAAUUCAGUAGCUUUAAACAUAAAUAUUUAAUUUAUGAAUUUUGAACUAUAGAUAUAACCCUUAUGAACUUUAAUCACCGGUUAAUCAAAGUUUGUCGUCCAACGCCCCGGAAAUAAUAAUGUCGCAGAGCACGCAUAUCCGGGUACAAUGAAACCAAAAGUGCUCAACGCUAUGCGAUAUUUAAAAACAAACUGAUUUUUUAAAUUUAAAAUCUUCAAAAUGAUUUACCGAGUUUUUCCAGCCACUUAUCCUUAUUUUGAACGGUAUUCUCAUAUUUUAUAUGUCACUUUGUGUUGGUCGCCAAAACACGUGUCGUCAUUUGUUUUGGCAUGUAAUAUAAACGAAAGUAUACUCAACCCGUAGCUUAUUUACAAGAAUUUUAUUUUAUUAUGUCCACUAUCAUCUAAAUCAUAAAAGUGUUUCCUUAUGUAUGUAACAAAUCUAAUACUAUAUCAAUUUGUUUGUCAAAUAUUAAAUCGUACCGUUAGGCGCCUAAGUGUAAAUUAUUAUUUUCGAGUAUUAUUAUUGUUACAAAUGUAUUGCACUUUUGAAUAAAUUUAUAUAAAUAGUCAUUAGUGGUAUAUUGCUGAUCCGCGAAACACAUAUUUGAUUAGUGAAAAAAUCUUGAGAACCACUGAUAUACAGUGUGUAGGUCAUCAUGAUACAUCACAACCAAAAAUAAUAAGGUUUUUGAGACUAUAUGUUGGUGUGCUUCAAUUCGUAUGAAAAUUGACAGUACGUAGUCAGUACAGUGGUCAAUUGAAAUUUGUAAUAUUUGUUAUUUUCAUGGUGUGAAGUAUGAAAUAGAAAAUAUAAUCAGGUGACCAGUUGUAGGUUUACUGCAGUGAUUGUCGGCAGAUUCAAAAGAUAUUUUUUAUAAUCUGAUAUAAAUUUGUUUUUAUUUUUAGUGAGACUAAUUAGAAUCUAUUUACUGAAGUGAUCUCACAAAAAUAUUAAUAUGUCUGUCUGUGUUACAGGACACGUUA